AGGACUAUAAUUUAUUUAAAAAAUAAUUAAUUUGCAUUUAAAAAAAAACUUUGGGGUUUAGUCUUA
rnacentral:tRNA from 1 species